GUGACUGGCAGGUUGCUGGGCCUCGUGU
rnacentral:piRNA from 1 species